rnacentral:rRNA from 1 species
GGGUUGUGAGGUUAAGCGACUAAGCGUACACGGUGGAUGCCCUGGCAGUCAGAGGCGAUGAAGGACGUGCUAAUCUGCGAUAAGCGUCGGUGAGGUGAUAUGAACCGUUAUAACCGGCGAUUUCCGAAUGGGGAAACCCAGUGUGUUUCGACACACUAUCAUUAACUGAAUCCAUAGGUUAAUGAGGCGAACCGGGGGAACUGAAACAUCUAAGUACCCCGAGGAAAAGAAAUCAACCGAGAUUCCCCCAGUAGCGGCGAGCGAACGGGGAGGAGCCCAGAGCCUGAAUCAGUGUGUGUGUUAGUGGAAGCGUCUGGAAAGGCGCGCGAUACAGGGUGACAGCCCCGUACACAAAAAUGCACAUAUUGUGAGCUCGAUGAGUAGGGCGGGACACGUGGUAUCCUGUCUGAAUAUGGGGGGACCAUCCUCCAAGGCUAAAUACUCCUGACUGACCGAUAGUGAACCAGUACCGUGAGGGAAAGGCGAAAAGAACCCCGGCGAGGGGAGUGAAAAAGAACCUGAAACCGUGUACGUACAAGCAGUGGGAGCCUCUUAAUGGGGUGACUGCGUACCUUUUGUAUAAUGGGUCAGCGACUUAUAUUCUGUAGCAAGGUUAACCGAAUAGGGGAGCCGAAGGGAAACCGAGUCUUAACUGGGCGUUAAGUUGCAGGGUAUAGACCCGAAACCCGGUGAUCUAGCCAUGGGCAGGUUGAAGGUUGGGUAACACUAACUGGAGGACCGAACCGACUAAUGUUGAAAAAUUAGCGGAUGACUUGUGGCUGGGGGUGAAAGGCCAAUCAAACCGGGAGAUAGCUGGUUCUCCCCGAAAGCUAUUUAGGUAGCGCCUCGUGAAUUCAUCUCCGGGGGUAGAGCACUGUUUCGGCAAGGGGGUCAUCCCGACUUACCAACCCGAUGCAAACUGCGAAUACCGGAGAAUGUUAUCACGGGAGACACACGGCGGGUGCUAACGUCCGUCGUGAAGAGGGAAACAACCCAGACCGCCAGCUAAGGUCCCAAAGUCAUGGUUAAGUGGGAAACGAUGUGGGAAGGCCCAGACAGCCAGGAUGUUGGCUU